GCGAGAGUGACGGAACUGGUAGACGUAGUCGACUCAAAAUCGACCGCCCUUACGGGCUUAGGGGUUCGAGUCCCCUCUCUCGCA
rfam:Acetobacter syzygii 9H-2 DNA, contig: Absy_100.